rnacentral:rRNA from 1 species
GGCUUACCAUGCAGUCGAGGGGCAGCAUUUCAGUUUGCUUGCAAACUGGAGAUGGCGACCGGCGCACGGGUGAGUAACACGCUAUCCAACCUGCCGAUAACUCGGGGAUAGCCUUUCGAAAGAAAGAUUAAUACCCGAUGGUAUAAUCAGACCGCAUGGUCUUNUUAUUAAAGAAUUUCGGUUAUCGAUGGGGAUGCGUUCCAUUAGGCAGUUGGUGAGGUAACGGCUCACCAAACCUUCGAUGGAUAGGGGUUCUGAGAGGAAGGUCCCCCACAUUGGAACUGAGACACGGUCCAAACUCNUACGGGAGGCAGCAGUGAGGAAUAUUGGUCAAUGGGCGCAGGCCUGAACCAGCCAAGUAGCGUGAAGGAUGACUGCCCUAUGGGUUGUAAACUUCUUUUAUAUGGGAAUAAAGUUUUCCCACGUGUGGAAUUUUGUAUGUACCAUAUGAAUAAGGAUCGGCUAACUCCGUGCCAGCAGCCGCGGUAAUACGGAGGAUCCGAGCGUUAUCCGGAUUUAUUGGGUUUAAAGGGAGCGUAGGUGGACAGUUAAGUCAGUUGUGAAAGUUUGCGGCUCAACCGUAAAAUUGCAGUUGAUACUGGCUGUCUUGAGUACAGUAGAGGUGGGCGGAAUUCGUGGUGUAGCGGUGAAAUGCUUAGAUAUCACGAAGAACUCCGAUUGCGAAGGCAGCUCACUGGACUGCAACUGACACUGAUGCUCGAAAGUGUGGGUAUCAAACAGGAUUAGAUACCCUGGUAGUCCACACAGUAAACGAUGAAUACUCGCUGUUUGCGAUAUACAGUAAGCGGCCAAGCGAAAGCAUUAAGUAUUCCACCUGGGGAGUACGCCGGCAACGGUGAAACUCAAAGGAAUUGACGGGGGCCCGCACAAGCGGAAGGAACAUGUGGUUUAAUUCGAUGAUACGCGAGGAACCUUACCCGGGCUUAAAUUGCAUUUGAAUAUUUUGGAAACAGGUUAGCCGNAAGGCAAAUGUGAAAGUGCUGCAUGGUUGUCGUCAGCUCGUGCCGUGAGGGGUCGGCUUAAGUGCCAUAACGAGCGCAACCCUUAUCUUUNAGUUACUAACAGGUCAUGCUGAGGACUCUAGAGAGACUGCCGUCGUAAGAUGUGAGGAAGGUGGGGAUGACGUCAAAUCAGCACGGCCCUUACGUCCGGGGCUACACACGUGUUACAAUGGGGGGUACAGAAGGCAGCUACCUGGUGACAGGAUGCUAAUCCCAAAAGCCUCUCUCAGUUCGGAUCGAAGUCUGCAACCCGACUUCGUGAAGCUGGAUUCGCUAGUAAUCGCGCAUCAGCCAUGGCGCGGUGAAUACGUUCCCGGGCCUUGUACACACCGCCCGUCAAGCCAUGAAAGCCGGGGGUACCUGAAGUACGUAACCGCAAGGAGCUCCUAGG